rnacentral:lncRNA from 1 species
AUUUAUAAAGACUGUUUGUUUUUUUUUUCUUUCCCUGCCUUAGGAAGAAGAUCAGUUUUUAACAGGUUACUAGUCAGCCUAGUAAUGUUUAAGAGAAAACAGACUCAUUACGCUGACCAAAAGGUGAAAAAACAGUGAGUGACUUUGUUUAGGCUUGUUGAAGAUCACAAAAGUUGGUGGAUUACAGUUACUACAAAGCCAGAGGGAAAAAUUGCACAGCCUAUUGCUACCUGUUGU